rnacentral:rRNA from 1 species
GACGAAGGAUGCAAGCGUUAUCCGGAUUCAUUGGGUUUAAAGGGAGCGUAGGUGGCCUUAUAAGUCAGUGGUGAAAUCUCUGGGCUUAACCCAGAAAUUGCCAUUGAUACUGUAGGGCUUGAGUACAGUUGCCGUUGGCGGAAUAUGACAUGUAGUGGUGAAAUACAUAGAGAUGUCAUAGAACACCGAUUGCGAAGGCAGCUAACGAAACUGUAACUGACACUGAGGCUCGAAAGUGCGGGGAUCAAACAGG